UGGGGAAUAUUGCACAAUGGGCGAAAGCCUGAUGCAGCAACGCCGCGUGAGUGAUGACGGUCUUCGGAUUGUAAAGCUCUGUCUUUGGGGACGAUAAUGACGGUACCCAAGGAGGAAGCCACGGCUAACUACGUGCCAGCAGCCGCGGUAAUACGUAGGUGGCAAGCGUUGUCCGGAUUUACUGGGCGUAAAGGGUGCGUAGGCGGACCUUUAAGUGAGAUGUGAAAUCCCCGAGCUUAACUUGGGGGCUGCAUUUCAAACUGGAGGUCUAGAGUGCAGGAGAGGAGAGUGGAAUUCCUAGUGUAGCGGUGAAAUGCGUAGAGAUUAGGAAGAACACCAGUGGCGAAGGCGACUCUCUGGACUGUAACUGACGCUGAGGCACGAAAGCGUGGGGAGCAAACAG
rnacentral:rRNA from 1 species